CAUGGCUUUAUGGGAUGGUUUUACUACUGAUCAGAAUGCUAGAGUAAUGGUCCUGGCAGCAACCAAUCGCCCAAGUGACCUUGAUGAGGCAAUAAUUAGACGCUUUUCUCAGGCAUGUGAGAUUGGAAAACCUUCUCUUAGUGAUAGAACAAAGAUUCUGAAGGUAGUUUUGAAGGGUGAGAGAAUCGAAGAUAACAUUGAUUUUGAUAGACUUGCUGGCUUGUGUGAGGGAUACACUGGUUCAGACAUUCUUGAAGCCUGCAAGCAAGCUGCCUUUAUUCCUCUUGGGGAGUAUUUGCAAGAUGAGAAGAAAGCAGAGCAAUCACAGGCACCAAGACCAUUGUCUCAGUCUGAUAUAGAGAGAGCAGUGGCUGAAUCAAAGAGGACCAGGGUUUCUGCUAAGAAACCAACUAUUGUGAGCUUUCGGUUGGAUGAUUAUGAGGAUUUAGACUGAGACUGGCUCCAGUUGAUGACACACUUGACAUCCGUUGAAGAUAUCAUUCUUUAGGCGUGGCCCAGCCCUUUUUGAAUCUCAAUGCUCUAACCUGUUUAGGAAUUGGAAGAUAUAUAGGUCAUUUAACUUGCAUUGUUUCAAUGUUGUAAAUACCAUGAACAAGUAAGUAGUCAUUGUUACAAG
rnacentral:misc_RNA from 1 species